UGGGGAAUAUUGCACAAUGGGCGCAAGCCUGAUGCAGCCAUGCCGCGUGUGUGAAGAAGGCCUUCGGGUUGUAAAGCACUUUCAGCGAGGAGGAAGGUGGUGAGCUUAAUACGCUCAUCAAUUGACGUUACUCGCAGAAGAAGCACCGGCUAACUCCGUGCCAGCAGCCGCGGUAAUACGGAGGGUGCAAGCGUUAAUCGGAAUUACUGGGCGUAAAGCGCACGCAGGCGGUUUGUUAAGUCAGAUGUGAAAUCCCCGGGCUCAACCUGGGAACUGCAUUUGAAACUGGCAAGCUAGAGUCUCGUAGAGGGGGGUAGAAUUCCAGGUGUAGCGGUGAAAUGCGUAGAGAUCUGGAGGAAUACCGGUGGCGAAGGCGGCCCCCUGGACGAAGACUGACGCUCAGGUGCGAAAGCGUGGGGCAGCAAACAGGAUUAGAUACCCUGGUAGUCCACGCUGUAAACGAUGUCGAUUUUGGAGGUUGUGCCCCUUGAGGCGUGGNUUCCGGAGCUAACGCGUUAAAUCGACCGCC
rnacentral:rRNA from 1 species